rnacentral:tRNA from 1 species
CCGAUCCUCGGUAAAACAGGUACACAGCGCUUGCCUCCGGAGCAAGAGGUCGUGAGUUCGAAUCUCGCCGGGCGUACGA